rnacentral:rRNA from 1 species
UGGGGAAUAUUGCACAAUGGAGGGAACUCUGAUGCAGCGACGCCGCGUGAGUGAUGAAGGAAUUCGUUUCGUAAAACUCUGUUCUAUGGGAAGAAAAGGACUGUACCAUAGGAGAAAGCUCCGGCUAAAUACGUGCCAGCAGCCGCGGUAAUACGUAUGGAGCGAGCGUUGUCCGGAAUUAUUGGGCGUAAAGGUUGCGCAGGCGGCUUUACAAGUUGGAUGUGAAAUAUUGUGGCUCAACCACAAACGUGCAUCCAAAACUGCAAAGCUUGAGUUAAGGAGAGGUAAGUGGAAUUCCUGGUGUAGCGGUGGAAUGCGUAGAUAUCAGGAGGAAUACCGGUGGCGAAGGCGACUUACUGGACUUAAACUGACGCUCAGGCACGAAAGCGUGGGGAGCAAACAGG